GACGAACGCUGGCGGCGUGCUUAACACAUGCAAGUCGAACGGAAAGGCCCUGCUUUUGUGGGGUGCUCGAGUGGCGAACGGGUGAGUAACACGUGAGUAACCUGCCCUUGACUUUGGGAUAACUUCAGGAAACUGGGGCUAAUACCGGAUAGGAGCUCCUGCUGCAUGGUGGGGGUUGGAAAGUUUCGGCGGUUGGGGAUGGACUCGCGGCUUAUCAGCUUGUUGGUGGGGUAGUGGCUUACCAAGGCUUUGACGGGUAGCCGGCCUGAGAGGGUGACCGGCCACAUUGGGACUGAGAUACGGCCCAGACUCCUACGGGAGGCAGCAGUGGGGAAGAUUGCACAAUGGGCGGAAGCCUGAUGCAGCAACGCCGCGUGAGGGAUGACGGCCUUCGGGUUGUAAACCGCUUUCGCCUGUGACGAAGCGUGAGUGACGGUAAUGGGUAAAGAAGCACAGGCUAACUACGUG
rnacentral:rRNA from 1 species